rnacentral:rRNA from 1 species
UACAGAGGGGGCAAGCGUUGUUCGGAAUUACUGGGCGUAAAGGGCGCGUAGGCGGCCUGCUAAGUCGAACGUGAAAUCCCUGGGCUCAACCCAGGAACUGCGUCCGAUACUGGUUGGCUUGAAUCCGGGAGAGGGAUGUGGAAUUCCAGGUGUAGCGGUGAAAUGCGUAGAUAUCUGGAGGAACACCGGUGGCGAAGGCGACAUCCUGGACCGGUAUUGACGCUGAGGCGCGAAAGCAUGGGGAGCGAACAGG